rnacentral:ncRNA from 1 species
CAUUGAUAAAGGCAAACCCGUACGAAAGGCGGGGGCGCAAAGUCACCGGUCUACCGGGCGUCGGCAAGGGCGCUCCAUGACGGCGGGACUGCCAUA